rnacentral:rRNA from 1 species
AUGAAGAAGUACAAGGACCAGCUCGCCUUGCUGUAUAAGGCGCACGAGAAGCUCAAGGACGAACUCAAUGCAGUGCUGAACCACCCACUAAUGCCGUCAGAAUUUGAACGAGCAUGGAAGAACCUCAUUCAGAGGUACAACUUGCAAGACGACGAAGUGAUGAAUUCACUGUGGGAUGACAGGCACGAGUGGAUCUCAGCUUACUACAAGGAAAUUUUCCGGAUGACUUCCACACAGAGAAGCGAGAGCAUGAACCGCAUACUGAAGAAAAAUUUUGUCAGGGAGAAGCAUGAUCUCCAUCUGUUUGCUCAGCAGGUGGACAAGUGCAUUCAGACCUGGAAGGCCGUCGAGCACGCAGAGACAGUAGCAAAUGAGUCAGAGGUAAAAACAACAACAAAGUUUGGCUUCGAAGUUCAGCUAUCAAAAGUGUAUACAAGAGCAGUGUUUGCAUAUUUCAAAGAAACGCUCUACCAUAGCACUGCAUUCAGAGCAGAACGGUGCCCUGAGAACCCGACAAAGUAUCUAGUACACCACUACAACAGAUCGGAUGCAUUUGAUUGAGCAAUGCAUAAUUUCCAAGUGGUCGCCGAUGAAGAGAAAGGUGUCUACGAAUGUGAGUGCAAACUCUGGACACACACAGGCCUGUUCUGCGUCCAUGUCUUAUGCAUGCUUUCUCAUUUGAGAGUACUCAACAUUCCUGAGGUGUACAUCAUGAAGAGAUACACCCAUAACGCAAGAUCAGAUGCAACGUUUGACAGAAGAGACUAUGAACAAACAACACCAGAUGGAACCUCGCUUUUUUGUCGUAGAAAAUUGCUGACAGAAACAGCAAUGGACCUUGCAAACAGAGCGACAAGGUCAGAC